UACGUAGGGUGCGAGCGUUAAUCGGAAUUACUGGGCGUAAAGCGUGCGCAGGCGGUUCGUUGUGUCCGUCGUGAAAGCCCCGGGCUUAACCCGGGAACUGCGAUGGAAACUAGCGAGCUGGAGUGUGGCAGAGGGGGGUGGAAUUCCGCGUGUAGCAGUGAAAUGCGUAGAGAUGCGGAGGAACACCGAUGGCGAAGGCAGCCCCCUGGGCUAACACUGACGCUCAGGCACGAAAGCGUGGGGAGCAAACAGG
rnacentral:rRNA from 1 species